UACGUAGGGUGCAAGCGUUGUCCGGAAUUAUUGGGCGUAAAGAGCUCGUAGGCGGUCUGUCGCGUCGGUUGUGAAAACCUGGGGCUCAACCCCGGGCCUGCAGUCGAUACGGGCAGACUAGAGUGCGGUAGGGGAGACUGGAAUUCCUGGUGUAGCGGUGAAAUGCGCAGAUAUCAGGAGGAACACCAAUAGCGAAGGCAGCUCGCUGGGACGGUACUGACGCUAAGGCGCGAAAGCGUGGGGAGCGAACAGG
rnacentral:rRNA from 1 species